rnacentral:lncRNA from 1 species
GUUUCGGGCUUAAAGGGGACACAUUACAAUGGUGGUCUCAGCUUCCUUCUUACUAAACAGAGCCCGACUUGUUAAAUAUGUUUUUCCAAGAAUUUCUUCUGUUUUGGUAAAUAUAAUGCAACAUCUUGUUGCUCGAAGAACAAUACAAAAUUUAAAAAAAUAAUAGAAAUAGAACAGAUUACAAUAACAGAAUUGAAAAGAAAUACAAAACUGUUAACUGAGUUGAGUCUCGUAUUUCACAUGAUCUCUUUAAGACUGAUUCGUUCUUCACUAGUGCGUUAAAUCAGUGGAUGUCGCCUUCCAAGGUAAAAUAACAAACUUCAAAAAGUGUUAGCAUCGUAAGGCAUACUUGUUAACUGUUUUGUUUU